UACAGAGGGGGCAAGCGUUGUUCGGAAUUACUGGGCGUAAAGGGCGCGUAGGCGGCCUGUUAAGUCGAACGUGAAAUCCCUGGGCUCAACCCAGGAACUGCGUCCGAUACUGGCAGGCUUGAAUCCGGGAGAGGGAUGCGGAAUUCCAGGUGUAGCGGUGAAAUGCGCAGAUAUCAGGAAGAACACCCGUGGCGAAGGCGGCUCUCUGGGACGGUACUGACGCUGAGACGCGAAAGCGUGGGGAGCGAACAGG
rnacentral:rRNA from 1 species